UACGAAGGGGGCUAGCGUUGCUCGGAAUCACUGGGCGUAAAGCGCACGUAGGCGGAUUGCUAAGUCAGGGGUGAAAGCCUGGAGCUCAACUCCAGAACUGCCUUUGAUACUGGGGAUCUCGAGUCCGGGAGAGGUGAGUGGAACUGCGAGUGUAGAGGUGAAAUUCGUAGAUAUUCGCAAGAACACCAGUGGCGAAGGCGGCUCACUGGCCCGGUACUGACGCUGAGGUGCGAAAGCGUGGGGAGCAAACAGG
rnacentral:rRNA from 1 species